UACGUAGGGUGCAAGCGUUAUCCGGAAUUAUUGGGCGUAAAGAGCUCGUAGGCGGUUUGUCGCGUCUGCUGUGAAAACCCGAGGCUCAACCUCGGGCCUGCAGUGGGUACGGGCAGACUAGAGUGCGGUAGGGGAGAUUGGAAUUCCUGGUGUAGCGGUGAAAUGCGCAGAUAUCAGGAGGAACACCGGUGGCGAAGGCGGAUCUCUGGGCCAUUACUGACGCUGAGGAGCGAAAGCGUGGGGAGCGAACAGG
rnacentral:rRNA from 1 species